rnacentral:ncRNA from 1 species
UGCGGGAGAGAUCGGGGCCCGCCGCCCACACGCGGUCGGGACGCCCGGCGCCGACGGAGCAACCACCCCGGAAACUCUCAGGCAAAAGGACCGCA